GACGAACGCUGGCGGCGUGCUUAACACAUGCCAGUCGAACGGAAAGGCCCUGCUUUUGUGGGGUGCUCGAGUGGCGAACGGGUGAGUAACACGUGAGUAACCUGCCCUUGACUUUGGGAUAACUUCAGGAAACUGGGGCUAAUACCGGAUAGGAGCUCCUGCUGCAUGGUGGGGGUUGGAAAGUUUCGGCGGUUGGGGAUGGACUCGCGGCUUAUCAGCUUGUUGGUGGGGUAGUGGCUUACCAAGGCUUUGACGGGUAGCCGGCCUGAGAGGGUGACCGGCCACAUUGGGACUGAGAUACGGCCCAGACUCCUACGGGAGGCAGCAGUGGGGAAUAUGGCACAAUGGGCGGAAGCCUGAUGCAGCAACGCCGCGUGCGGGAUGACGGCCUUCGGGUUGUAAACCGCUUUCGCCUGUGACGAAGCGUGAGUGACGGUAAUGGGUAAAGAAGCACCGGCUAACUACGU
rnacentral:rRNA from 1 species